UGAGAUGGCGACCGGCGCACGGGUGAGUAACACGUAUCCACCUGCCGAUAACUCCGGAAUAGCCUUUCGAAAGAAAGAUUAAUACCGGAUAGCAUCGCAUGAUUAAAGAAUUUCGGUUAUCGAUGGGGAUGCGUUCCAUUAGUUUGUUGGCGGGGUAACGGCCCACCAAGACAACGAUGGAUAGGGGUUCUGAGAGGAAGGUCCCCCACAUUGGAACUGAGACACGGUCCAAACUCCUACGGGAGGCAGCAGUGAGGAAUAUUGGUCAAUGGGCGAGAGCCUGAACCAGCCAAGUAGCGUGAAGGAUGAAGGCUUAUGGGUCGUAAACUUCUUUUAUAUGGGAAUAAGUUUUCCACGUGUGGAAUUUUGUAUGUACCAUAUGAAUAAGGAUCGGCUAACUCCGUGCCAGCAGCCGCGGUAAUACGGAGGAUCCGAGCGUUAUCCGGAUUUAUUGGGUUUAAAGGGAGCGUAGGUGGAUUGUUAAGUCAGUUGUGAAAGUUUGCGGCUCAACCGUAAAAUUGCAGUUGAAACUGGCAGUCUUGAGUACAGUAGAGGUGGGCGGAAUU
rnacentral:rRNA from 1 species